UUCCCGGGCCUUGUACACACCGCCCGUCACACCACGAAAGUUGGCAAUACCCGAAGCCGGUGGCCUAACCGCAAGGAGGGAGCCGUCUAAGGUAGGGUCGAUGAUUGGGGUG
rnacentral:rRNA from 1 species